rnacentral:rRNA from 1 species
GACGAACGCUGGCGGCGUGCCUAAUACAUGCAAGUUGAGCGCUGAAGGUUGGUACUUGUACCAACUGGGUGAGCAGCGAACGGGUGAGUAACGCGUGGGGAAUCUGCCUUUGAGCGGGGGACAACAUUUGGAAACGAAUGCUAAUACCGCAUAAAAACUUUAAACACAAGUUUUAAGUUUGAAAGAUGCAAUUGCAUCACUCAAAGAUGAUCCCGCGUUGUAUUAGCUAGUUGGUGAGGUAAAGGCUCACCAAGGCGAAGAUACAUAGCCGACCUGAGAGGGUGAACGGCCACCUUGGGACUUGGACACGGCCCAAACUCCUACGGGAGGCAGCAGUAGGGAAUCUUCGGCAAUGGACGAAAGUCUGACCGAGCAACGCCGCGUGAGUGAAGAAGGUUGUCGGGUCGUAAAACUCUGUUGGUAGAGAAGAACGUUGGUGAGAGUGGAAAGCUCAUCAAGUGACGGUAACUACCCAGAAAGGGACGGCUAACUACGUG